rnacentral:rRNA from 1 species
AUGGAGAAUAAUUAUGUCCCUUAUGGAAGAUCAACACGGUUUGUGCAAUCUCAAACAAAUGCAGAUCACUUUAGAAGGGAAAUUUAUAUUGGGAUUAUUGAUAAAACCAGUCAAGAGCUUGACAAUCGGUUUGAUGAGGUCAAUAUGGAGUUGCUUUCUUGUAUGUCGGCCUUGAAUCCUGCCAACUCAUUUUCUGCUUUUGAUGCACAAAAGGUACGUAGACUUGCUGAGUUCUACCCCAAUGAUUUUUCGAGCUCUGACUUGAUGCACCUUGAAAUGCAACUUGAUAACUAUAUUGAUGACAUGAGAAAAGAUGACAACUUCAAAGGCCUAGAAAAUCUUGCUGAUCUCUCAGUUAAGCUUGUUCAAACAAGGAGGCAUAUAGUUCAUAAUUUGGUUUACUUGCUUCUAAAAUUGGUAUUGCUUCUACCGGUGGCAACAACAAGUGUUGAAAGAGCAUAUUCUGCAAUGAGUGUGGUCAAAAACAAGUUAAGAAACAAGAUGGGUGAUAGUCUUUUGGAUGAUUGCCUA